rfam:Bacillus coagulans 36D1, complete genome.
CGGGAAAUAGCUCAGCUUGGUAGAGCACAUGGUUUGGGACCAUGGGGUCGCAGGUUCGAAUCCUGUUUUCCCGA